rnacentral:rRNA from 1 species
UACGGAAGGUCCGGGCGUUAUCCGGAUUUAUUGGGUUUAAAGGGAGCGCAGGCGGAUCUUUAAGUCAGCUGUGAAAUACGGCGGCUCAACCGUCGAACUGCAGUUGAUACUGGAGGUCUUGAGUGCACACAGGGAUGCUGGAAUUCAUGGUGUAGCGGUGAAAUGCUCAGAUAUCAUGAAGAACUCCGAUCGCGAAGGCAGGCAUCCGGGGUGCAACUGACGCUGAGGCUCGAAAGUGCGGGUAUCAAACAGG